UACGUAGGGUGCAGGCGUUAAUCGGAAUUACUGGGCGUAAAGCGUGCGCAGGCGGUCUUUUAAGUCAGAUGUGAAAUCCCCGGGCUUAACCUGGGAACUGCGUUUGAAACUGGAAGGCUUGAGUGUGGCAGAGGGGGGUGGAAUUCCACGUGUAGCAGUGAAAUGCGUAGAGAUGUGGAGGAACACCGAUGGCGAAGGCAGCCCCCUGGGCUAACACUGACGCUCAUGCACGAAAGCGUGGGGAGCAAAC
rnacentral:rRNA from 1 species